AGAGUUUGAUCAUGGCUCAGGAUGAACGCUGGCGGCGUGCCUAACACAUGCAAGUCGAACGGAAUUUACAUGAAGCCUAGCGAUUGUAAAUUUAGUGGCGGACGGGUGAGUAACGCGUGGGUAACCUGCCUUGUACUGGGGGACAACAGUUGGAAACGACUGCUAAUACCGCAUAAGCGCACAGCUUCGCAUGAAGCAGUGUGAAAAACUCCGGUGGUACAAGAUGGACCCGCGUCUGAUUAGCUGGUUGGUGAGGUAACGGCCACCAAGGCGACGAUCAGUAGCCGGCCUGAGAGGGUGAACCGGCCANAUUGGGACUGAGACACGGCCCAAACUCCGUACGGGAGGCA
rnacentral:rRNA from 1 species